rnacentral:misc_RNA from 1 species
UCAAACUUGGUCAUUUAGAGGAAGUAAAAGUCGUAACAAGGUUUCCGUAGGUGAACCUGCGGAAGGAUCAUUACAAAUCAGAGUGUUGGUGAGUGGGGGGGGAUAGGUUGAGGGAGGAUGGAUGGGGUAAAACCCGUUUGUCACGCUUAUCUAUUACCCACCCACCCCAUCACGACAUAUGCACGGGGCCGCAAGGCUCUGAUGUUUACGCUUGUUUGUUUGACAUAAUUUAUUACCGUUAUAAUAUUGACAACUUUUAACAAUGGAUCUCUUGGCUCUUGCAUCGAUGAAGAACGCAGC